AUUGAACGCUGGCGGCAUGCCUAACACAUGCAAGUCGAACGGGGCAGCAAUGCCUAGUGGCGGACGGGUGAGGAAUACGUAGGAAUCUGCCCUUAAGUGGGGGAUAACCAGGGGAAACCCUGACUAAUACCGCAUGAUCUCUUCGGAGCAAAGAGGGGGACCGCAAGGCCUCUCGCUUCUGGAUGAGCCUACGUCUGAUUAGCUAGUUGGUAGGGUAAAGGCCUACCAAGGCGACGAUCAGUAACUGGUCUGAGAGGAUGAUCAGUCACACUGGGACUGAGACACGGCCCAGACUCCUACGGGAGGCAGCAGUGGGGAAUUUUGGACAAUGGGCGCAAGCCUGAUCCAGCAAUGCCGCGUGCAGGAAGAAGGCCUUCGGGUUGUAAACUGCUUUUGUACGGAACGAAACGGUCCUGGUUAAUACCCGGGGCUAAUGACGGUACCGUAAGAAUAAGCACCGGCUAACUACGUGCCAGCAGCCGCGGUAACAC
rnacentral:rRNA from 1 species